GCUGGGCAUGGUAGCACAUGCCUGUAAUCCCAGCUACUCUGGAGGCUGGGGCAGGAGAAUCGCUUGAAUCCGGGAGGCGGAGGUUGCAGUGAGCCGAGUUUGCACCACUGCACCUCCAGCCUGGGUAACAGGGCGAGACUCUGUCUCAA
ensembl:misc_RNA Metazoa_SRP Metazoan signal recognition particle RNA